rnacentral:rRNA from 1 species
GAUGAACGCUAGCGGCAGGCUUAAUACAUGCAAGUCGAGGGGCAGCACAGUGUAGCAAUACAUGGGUGGCGACCGGCAAACGGGUGCGUAACACGUACACAACUUACCCUUUACUGGGGGAUAGCCCAGGGAAACUUGGAUUAAUACCCCAUAUUGCAGAUGACCGGCAUCGGUUGUUUGCCAAAGUUCCGACGGUAAAGGAUGGGUGUGCGGUUGAUUAGGUAGUUGGCGGGGUUACGGCCCACCAAGCCUACGAUCAAUAGCUGAUGUGAGAGCAUGAUCAGCCACACGGGCACUGAGACACGGGCCCGACUCCUACGGGAGGCAGCAGUAAGGAAUAUUGGGCAAUGGACGCAAGUCUGACCCAGCCAUGCCGCGUGAAGGAUGAAGGCCCUCUGGGUUGUAAACUUCUUUAUCUGGGGCGAAAGGCGGUUAUUCUUAGCCGUUUGACAGUACCAGAGGAAUAAGCACCGGCUAACUCCGUG